GAUGAAGAACGUAGCGAAAUGCGAUAAGUAAUGUGAAUUGCAGAAUUCAGUGAAUCAUCGAAUCUUUGAACGCACAUUGCGCCCGCCAGUAUUCUGGCGGGCAUGCCUGUUCGAGCGUCAUUUCAACCAUCAAGCCCCAGGCUUGUGUUGGGGACCUGCGGCUGCCGCAGGCCCUGAAAACCAGUGGCGGGCUCGCUGUCACACCGGGCGUAGUAGAUUUUAUCUCGCUCAGGGCGUGCUGCGGGUUCCGGCCGUUAAAAAGCCUUUUGUACCCAAGGUUGACCUCGGAUCAGGUAGGAAGACCCGCUGAACUUAAGCAUAUCAAUAAGCGGAGGA
rnacentral:misc_RNA from 1 species